GGGGGCGAAAUAGGUUUCGACAGAGAGAAAUUUGGAUAGAGUUGCCUGUCAAGUUUGUCAGGGACUUGUAAAAACCUGACAAAAAAUAACUGCCACACCGGCAAAUGUUAUGGCUGCAUAAAAUGCAGUCACCUGUUUACAGAGUUUACCCCUGACUCUGUAAAACAGGUCGGGUAAAGGGGUAUUCUUCUUGAAGUUUAUCCUUUUUCUUCAAGAAGAAUUAUGAAAAAGGAUGCGGGUAAAAAGGUUUGUCAGAAGCACCUUUUUACUCAAAGAAGAAACUUCUGACUAUACAGGUAGAUACUCUAUCUGGAUUCUCUCUGGACGCGGGGGCAGUACCCGCCGCCUCCACUU
rnacentral:tmRNA from 1 species